AGAGUGAACGCUGGCGGUAGGCCUAACACAUGCAAGUCGAACGGCAGCACGGUAAGAGCUUGCUCUUAUGGGUGGCGAGUGGCGGACGGGUGAGGAAUACAUCGGAAUCUACCUUUUGGUGGGGGAUAACGUAGGGAAACUUACGCUAAUACCGCAUACGCCCUUCGGGGGAAACGCCGGGGACCAGCAAUGGCCUGGCGCUGAUAGAUGAGCCGAUGUCGGAUUAGCUAGUUGGUGAGG
rnacentral:rRNA from 1 species